AUUGAACGCUAGCGGCAUGCCUAACACAUGCAAGUCGAGCGGCAGCGAGUCUGUAGUAAUACAGAUGUCGGCGAGCGGCGUACGGGUGAGUAAAAUAUAGGAAUCUGCCUCGAGGAGGGGGAUAACUUGGGGAAACUCAAGCUAAUACCACAUAAGACCUAAGGGCGAAAGCAGGGGAUCGAAAGCCCUUGCGCUUUGAGAUAAGCCUAUAACGGAUUAGCUAGUUGGGGGGGUAAGGGCCCACAAAGGCGACGAUCUGUAGCUGGUCUGAGAGAAUAACCAGCCAACAUGGGACUGGAAAACGGCCCAGAUUCCUACGGGAGGCAGCAGUGGGGAAUAUGGGACAAUGGGGGAAACCUGAUCCAGCAAUGCCGCGUGUGUGAAGAAGGCCUUCGGGUUGUAAAGCACUUUCAGUGGGGAGGAAGGUACAAGGGUUAAUACCUCUUGUAAUUGACGUUACCCACAGAAGAAGCACCGGCUAACUCUGUGCCAGCCGCCGCCGUAA
rnacentral:rRNA from 1 species